AGCUACGGGGGCAAUCUAGCUGUGAUAUUUGUCAGCCCAUUGAGGACCAGGGUUGAUUUGACUGAUCUGGCUGGCUAGGCUGGUAUCCCCUUCCUCCCUCACCACUCUAUGUGUGUCCUCCCUGAAGCUGUGCAUUUGGUUUGAGAGGAUGACCUUCCCAGUUAGAGGCGUAAUAUUUUUUGAUCAAGGGCAUGCAUAGGAGUAGCUGCGCUCCCCUGCUAGAACAAGCUUCCAAGAUCCAAUUGUUUAGUUCUGAUUUUUUUGUGUGGAAAACAUUUGUAAUU
rnacentral:snRNA from 1 species